rnacentral:rRNA from 1 species
CAACAUUGAAAAUAAGCGAUAGCUUGACUCAGUAAAAGUAAGUAGGGCGGGCAAAUCUGGUGCCAGCCGCCGCGGUUAUACCAUGUGGCCCAAAUUGAUUUCUUUNCGGCGUAAAGAGUGAUUAAAGCNACUACCCNCACUGUGGUUUAACUAUNUAUUUAGUUGUAAUAAGCUUAUAUUUAGGAAACUCGANAAACGAAAGUUACUACANNNCUCAAAACAACUUGAACUCACGAUAGCUGAGACACAAACUAGGAUUAGAAACCCUACUAUGCUCAGUCACAAACUCUUAAUUACANNNNNNNNCUUCAAACGCCAGGGAACUACGAGCNAAAGCUUAAAACCCAAAGGACUUGACGGUGCCCCAUAUCCCCCUAGAGGAGCCUGUCCUAUAAUCGAUACCCCCCGUUUAACCUCACCAUUUUUAGCCAAAUCAGUCUGUAUACCUCCGUCGUCAGCUUACCACAUGAGUGAUAUAAUAGUAAGUUUAAUGUCCUNNNNNCUCGUCAAUACGUCAGGUCAAGGUGCAGCUAAUAAAAUGGGAAGAGAUGGGCUACACUCUCUAUUUUAGAACAUACGAAUGANUANAUAUGAAANACUAAUUUCAAGGUGGAUUUAGUAGUAAAAAAAGACUAGAGCGCUUUUUUUANAAAAGGCCCUGGGNGUGUGUACACACCGCCCGUCACCCUCUUCGNAAGCCUNUUANCCACAGUCACUAACAAANCUCUNGCANAGUAGAAGAGGUANAGUCGUA